AAAACAGCCCUUUUCAGGGCCAUUUUUAUAUAUAAAAAAUAUUAUU
rfam:Candidatus Falkowbacteria bacterium RIFOXYC2_FTLL_36_12 rifoxyc2_full_scaffold_69, whole genome shotgun sequence.